GAUCCUGGCUCAGGAUGAACGCUAGCGACAGGCUUAACACAUGCAAGUCGAGGGGCAGCGGGGGUAGCAAUACCCGCCGGCGACCGGCGCACGGGUGAGUAACGCGUACGCAACUUACCUAUCAGAGGGGGAUAACCCGGCGAAAGUCGGACUAAUACCGCAUGAAGCAGGGGUCCCGCAUGGGGAUAUUUGCUAAAGAUUCAUCGCUGAUAGAUAGGCAUGCGUUCCAUUAGGCAGUUGGG
rnacentral:rRNA from 1 species